CAAUUGUUAUGUACUGUACUUAAAUCCUAGACGUAAUGGAGAAUUUACUUCGACUUUUUCUAUUUCUCUGCCUAAAAUGUGUGCGGUGUCAAAUAGAAGUCAAUCAAACUCCAGAAAGCUUACAAGUUGCACUUGGUGAACAGGCAGCAAUUACUUGUCGGUUCCAAGCUUUUGGCUUUAAUAAUCUGCAGUGGUAUCGACAGGUUCCAAAUUCUCCACCCGAGCACAUUGCUACCUGCGUAACAGAUGGUAUCGAAUAUAAAGACGAUAUGAAGUUUUCUCUGAGCAGGUCGGGCCAAGCUAGUAACCUAACAAUCAUCAGCUCCGAAAUCCGACAUUCGGCUGUCUAUUUCUGUGCAGUGGAGGCACGUUGUGUUUAUCACACAGAAUGGCUAUACAAAAACCUCAGUCUAAACAGCUGUUAA